UGUCAGGCACUGAGUGAGGACAGACCAUCCCAGCUCAACCGCUGCUCUGCCACUAAUUUAAACUGCUGUCCAUUUUUGUCAUGGCUCAGUGGGAAUGAAAGUGUGGUGUUCAGGAUGGUGAGCUGGGUGGACAGAGAUGGGCACUUAGUGCCUGGCAUCCACUGAGCACCACACUAGUCCUUGACACCGGCGGGAUUAUUUCCGAAUUGGUUCUCCAGAGUUUACAAAUGGAGGCAGCAAAGUGUGGAGCUGCUGGGAGCAGGGACCUGCUAGGCCCUCCCUAGGGGCUCAGUACUGGAAGGUAGAAGAAGAUGGAAGUGGACUAGAGGAAGGAGAAGUCAAAAGGAGAUGCCCUUUGGGAUGUUGCAAACUUGUAAGGAUUUUGCUGACACAGCUAGUACAAAAGAAGAAGACUAGAUCAAGACCUAUAUCCUUCCGGGCUAUGCAGAUAGAGAAAUGGAGCCACAAGGAUAAAGUGAUGAUUCUGAGAUGUCUUCAAGGUGUUCAUCUUUCCCUGGGUCUUUUCUUCAUAGGUAUGCUGGGGGAUUCACUUUCCUACCCUCUCACAGUUAGGUGGU